rfam:Sordaria macrospora k-hell, WGS project CABT00000000 data, contig 2.3
CACCAACAAAGACAAUACCUUCGACCUCCAACGCCCAACCAUAUUGAUCCUCGCAAUGCCCGAAUGGGCCCAGCCUCAAGUCGGUCUCUGUUUCGAUCCUUGGAAACCCACGCGAAAUACAGUCAGAACUCGAUCCUGUCGAGAUACACAGCCAAAACGCGCUGGCCCGAACGACGACGACAGCCAUUCCCAUCGAGUCUUUCAACCCUCUCUCUGAGCACGACGCCUCCCCUACAGUUCUCCGAUUCCGGUUUUCCCGUAAAGGAAUGUCCUUCGUGGCCGCUCGGAUGUCCGGUUCUUCCGCAGUACGUCGCAGCUUCGAGUCCUGCAUCAGGAGCCUUCUCAAGCUUUGCCGCGCAUGGGAUUACUGCGGAUUUCGGGAUUUAUCCUACCCUUGCCGGCGCCCAGAGUGAAUUGGUCUCGGAACUUAACCCUACGUAUACGCUGGUUACACAUUACAAGUCUUGCGCGCUUCGGCAGUCAAAUCGACCCUUCGCCUUCUACGUCCGCGUUAUCGUGGUGUUUACUUUCGGGGUCUAUGGCGCCGCUGAAAAGUUGCGUCCUCUAGAUUCUUGGUAUUCUGCUUGAUGGCAAGGACUGACCGGCAAGGAGAGAAGUUCCAGUCAUCUUGGUUGCACUUCGGUGCGCCUGAUGGGCGAGGUGUCUGGUCCCAUGAGUCAAAAGCUGGUGAGAACCUCUGGCCUGAGGUCGCUCGUCAGGACUGGAUCACUGGACGCAGUACUCUGGUCACCAUAGCGGAUUGCUUUGCAGAUGUCCCGUGGCUAGGUACACCGCGUUGGGGAAGGAUACAUUUUGGGUGCCCUGCCAUGCCUGUCAUCCGGAAGUUCUUUCUGGCUCUGACUCUUGGAGCUUUACGUUUCGCGACGCAUGCUCUGUGGAGUGACGAGGGGAGAGCGAAGAUACGGCUACAUACGAUCACAUCCCUCAUUUCAUCUUUCGCGUCUUCAGCUUGCCUCGCCUGAAUCACUGCACUUGUGUGGUGAGCUGGGGCUGUACGACUACAAACGGAAAUGUUGGGAAGGAUUCUUUUCACGCCUGUCUGUCGCGCUCUCUGCACCCUCAGAUCUCUCUUGUAUCGCAUGCGCAGGAGCGGAUACCCACUUGUACGCUUUUCUCCCGGAUAACCUCCACUGACUCUGUGGAACCGCGUUCGGCAACAUACCGUCAACGUGUCAUUGGCUGUUGUGUCAUUGAGAUCCCCGGCCAGGCGCAUCAACCGAUUUACACGUAUGGCUUUGUCCUACGUCGCGAAUUGGACGCCAGAACCACGUUUGUUUCAAAUCUUUGAUCCGAAAGGAGAGGAGCUCUUUGGCAGACACUUUCCUUUCGACUGGAGUGCGCUGAAAAGUUCACUUUCGGGAGAAAGAUGAUAGCACGGUUUUUGAGGACGCAUUUUGUCCGUGCGGAAAUGCCCUCCUUCACACUUUCUCGGUUGGUACGAGAGUGCGGAGAGGAUACAAAAGCUAGUCUCAGUUGGCCGUGCUCUACACACGGAAAGACUCGUGGGACGGCUAUCUCGACGAUCCGGCUAUCGAUUUGGCUGCCGACACUUGACGACUGCUGUGUUAAUGACGGUGCGGUUUCUUUUGGGGGAUUGAGCAGGUCCGCCAUGGCUUGCUGGUUUGGACUGUGAGAGUGGUGGUUGGGUGUUUAGUGUCCUGUGGGAGUGUCCAUUCUGGGGGUGUCCGCGUCCGUGUUGGUGUCCGUGUCCGUUCGGGGGAAGAAGCGUGUCUUUGGGCCACACUCGUUGAGAACCAAUGCUUUUGCAGCCCCUGGAUUUUCAGAGGAUGGUGGUUGUGGACUCUGGGGAAGAGAACCAAAAGUCGGGACCCAUCUCGAGUUGGAGUCAAAGUUUCGUACUUGUCUGGCCUUCGGAUCCUCUCUUUCUUGGUCUUCGCUUCUGGCCGAAUCUGCGUCCUUGCGGAGGCUAGCUUUGUUGUUUGGAGUUCUGGCCCUUUAGGAUAGGGGACUGGCUUCCUGGAAGGUGGUCCCCGGUUGUUCCUCGUUCCUGAAAGAUGGCGGGAGGAACAACCCCUCUGCACUUUUUGAGG